UCGUUAACGAACGAGACCUUAACCUGCUAAAUAGCCAGGCGAGCUUUCGCUCGUCGCCGGCUUCUUAGAGGGACUAUCGGCUCAAGCCGAUGGAAGUUUGAGGCAAUAACAGGUCUGUGAUGCCCUUAGAUGUUCUGGGCCGCACGCGCGCUACACUGACGGGGCCAACGAGUACCAUCCUUGGCCGAAAGGUCUGGGUAAUCUUGUUAAACCCCGUCGUGCUGGGGAUAGGGCAUUGCAAUUAUUGCCCUUCAACGAGGAAUUCCUAGUAAGCGCAAGUCAUCAGCUUGCGUUGAUUACGUCCCUGCCCUUUGUACACACCGCCCGUCGCUAAUACCGAUUGAAUGGCUA
rnacentral:rRNA from 1 species